rnacentral:ncRNA from 1 species
CCCAAUCUUUUAACACAAGGUCUUGGUCUUAAACCUCUUAUUAUCUAAACUCUAUACUUAUACAUGCAAGCCUCAACACAACGGUGAAAAAGCCCACCACCAACCUCACAAGGAGCCGAUAUCAGGUCAAUCACCCAUGACAUCAAGCAACUAAGCCACACCCCCACGGGUCCACAGCAGUAGUUAAUAUUGGGCAAUAAGCGCAAGCUUGACCCAGCAAUAGAGUCACAGGGCCGGUUAAUCUCGUGCCAGCGACCGCGGUUACACGACAGGCCCAAGACAAUACCACCGGCGUAAAGCACGACUAAAAUCCAGUUUACCCCAUUAGAGGUGAAGAAAGACUUGGCCGUAAAAAGCCAUAAGUUGCACUAACCACAAACCCUAAUAUUAAACAACUUCAACUCGUGAAAGUCAGGGGACAAACUAAGAUUAGAUACCUUACUAUGCCUAACCAUAACAAAACAAUUAAACUACCAAUUGUUCGCCAAAUAACUACGAGUAAAAACUUAAAAUUUAAAAGACUUGACGGUACUUCACACCAACCUAGAGGAGCCUGUCUAUUAACCGAUAACCCACGAUUAACCCAACCCGCUCUAGCCUGACAGUCUAUAUACCGCCGUCGCCAGCUUACCUUGUGAAAGAACCAAAGCAAGCCCAAUAACCCCCAUUAACACGACAGGUCGAGGUGUAACUAAUGAGCCGGACCAAGAUGGGCUACAUUUUCUAACUCAGAAAAAACGAAUAGACUAUGAAACUAGAAACUGAAGCGGAUUUAGCAGUAAGUUGGGAAUAAACACACCCAGCCGAAGUCAACGCAAUGAAGUGCGCACACACCGCCCGUCAUCCCUGUAAAAUUCCUCACUCACUUCAUAAAAACCACCUCCCAUCAAAGCAGGGCAAGUCGUAACAUGGUAAGCGUACUGAAA